GGAGGAUUGGCCGAGUGGUAAGGCACCGGCUUGCUAAGCCGUGGUCGGGCCGAAAGCCCGCGCACGUUCGAUCCGUGCAUCCUCCG
rnacentral:tRNA from 2 species